UGGGGAAUCUUCCGCAAUGGGCGAAAGCCUGACGGAGCAACGCCGCGUGAGUGAAGAAGGCCUUCGGGUCGUAAAGCUCUGUCUUCAGGGAAGAACAACUAUAGUAUAAAUAAUGCUAUGGUCUGACGGUACCUGAGGAGGAAGCUCCGGCUAACUACGUGCCAGCAGCCGCGGUAAUACGUAGGGAGCAAGCGUUGUCCGGAAUUACUGGGCGUAAAGGGCGCGUAGGCGGGAACUCAAGUCAGGUGUGAAAACUAUGGGCUUAACCCAUAGACUGCACUUGAAACUGGGUUUCUUGAGGGCAGGAGAGGAAAGUGGAAUUCCUAGUGUAGCGGUGAAAUGCGUAGAUAUUAGGAGGAACACCAGUGGCGAAGGCGACUUUCUGGACUGUACCUGACGCUGAGGCGCGAAAGCGUGGGGAGCGAACA
rnacentral:rRNA from 1 species